UACGUAGGUGACCAGCGUUGUCCGGAUUUACUGGGCGUAAAGAGCGCGCAGGCGGUCGUUCAAGUCGAGUGUGAAAGCCCCCCGGCUCAACUGGGGAGGGUCACUCGAUACUGAUCGACUUGAAGGCAGGAGAGGGAAGCCGGAAUUCCCGGGUGUAGUGGUGAAAUGCGUAGAUAUCGGGAGGAACACCAGUGGCGAGGCGGCUUCCUGGCCUGUUCUUGACGCUGAGGCGCGAAGCUAGGGGAGCAAACGGG
rnacentral:rRNA from 1 species